GAUGAACGCUGGCGGCGUGCCUAAUACAUGCAAGUCGAGCGAACGGACGAGAAGCUUGCUUCUCUGAUGUUAGCGGCGGACGGGUGAGUAACACGUGGAUAACCUACCUAUAAGACUGGGAUAACUUCGGGAAACCGGAGCUAAUACCGGAUGAUAUUUUGAACCGCAUGGUUCAAAAGUGAAAGACGGUCUUGCUGUCACUUAUAGAUGGAUCCGCGCUGCAUUAGCUAGUUGGUAAGGUAACGGCUUACCAAGGCAACGAUGCAUAGCCGACCUGAGAGGGUGAUCGGCCACACUGGCACUGAGACACGGUCCAGACUCCUACAGGAAGCAGCAGUAGGGAAUCUUCCGCAAUGGGCGAGAGCCUGACGGAGCAACGCCGCGUGAGUGAUGAAGGUCUUCGGAUCGGAAAACUCUGUUAUUAGGGAAGAACAUAUGUGUAAGUAACUGGGCACAUCUUGACGGUACCUAAUCAAAAAGCCACGGCUAACUACGUG
rnacentral:rRNA from 1 species